rnacentral:rRNA from 1 species
CCUACGGGAGGCAGCAGUAGGGAAUUUUGCGCAAUGGGCGAAAGCCUGACGCAGCAACGCCGCGUGAUCGAGACGCCCUUCGGGGUGUAAAGAUCUGUCAGUGGGGACGAAACUUGACGGUACCCACAGAGGAAGCACCGGCUAACUCCGUGCCAGCAGCCGCGGUAAUACGGGGGGUGCAAGCGUUGUCCGGAAUCAUUGGGCGUAAGGAGUUCGUAGGCGGCACGUAAAGUCUGGUGUUAAAGGCAGAGGCUCAACUUCUGUACGGCACUGGAUACUUGCGAGCGAGAAUGCGGUAGAGGUAAAGGGAAUUCCUGGGGUAGCGGUGAAAUGCUUAGAUAUCAGGAGGAACAUCGGUGGCGUAAGCGCUUUACUGGGCCAUAAUUGACACUGAGGCUCGAAAGUGUGGGUAUCAAACAGGAUUAGAUACCCUUGUAGUC